rnacentral:rRNA from 1 species
GAUGAACGCUGGCGGCGUGCCUAAUACAUGCAAGUCGAGCGAACAGACGAGGAGCUUGCUCCUCUGACGUUAGCGGCGGACGGGUGAGUAACACGUGGAUAACCUACCUAUAAGACUGGGAUAACUUCGGGAAACCGGAGCUAAUACCGGAUAAUAUAUUGAACCGCAUGGUUCAAUAGUGAAAGACGGUUUUGCUGUCACUUAUAGAUGGAUCCGCGCCGCAUUAGCUAUUUGGUAAGGUAACGGCUUACCAAGGCAACGAUGCGUAGCCGACCUGAGAGGGUGAUCGGCCACACUGGAACUGAGACACGGUCCAGACUCCUACGGGAGGCAGCAGUAGGGAAUCUUCCGCAAUGGGCGAAAGCCUGACGGAGCAACGCCGCGUGAGUGAUGAAGGUCUUCGGAUCGUAAAACUCUGUUAUUCGGGAAGAACAAAUGUGUAAGUAACUAUGCACGUCUUGACGGUACCUAAUCAGAAAGCCACGGCUAACUCCGUG